rnacentral:lncRNA from 1 species
ACCAUCAUAAACCCCAUCUACAACACAUCAAGCAUCCACAUUGUUCAAGAACACACAUUUAUACCCAUAAACAUAACCAUAACCUAAACAUGUAUUCUAACCCAUAGAUCUUGCAUAAAACUUAUUCAAAACAUAAAACGAGCUUAAGAUCGGCUCUUACCUCUUGAAGAUCGAGAGAGACGACCCAAAAACUCGGAGUUGGGAGAGAUUUGGUUCUUGAACCUCCAAACUCCAAAACUUUGCUCAAAAGCUUAAAUCUUCAAAACCAAGUUAAAACAAGUGAAAAUCUUGAAAGAUUUAGAGGAAGAACAUCAAAAAUGGGUGAGGGACGGCGGAGAGCUCACCUUGGC